rnacentral:rRNA from 1 species
GACGAACGCUGGCGGCGUGCCUAAUACAUGCAAGUUGAGCGCUGAAGGUUGGUACUUGUACCGACUGGAUGAGCAGCGAACGGGUGAGUAACGCGUGGGGAAUCUGCCUUUGAGCGGGGGACAACAUUUAGAAACGAAUGCUAAUACCGCAUAAAAACUUUAAACACAAGUUUUAAGUUUGAAAGAUGCAAUUGCAUCACUCAAAGAUGAUCCCGCGUUGUAUUAGCUAGUUGGUGAGGUAAAGGCUCACCAAGGCGAUGAUACAUAGCCGACCUGAGAGGGUGAUCGGCCACAUUGGGACUGAGACACGGCCCAAACUCCUACGGGAGGCAGCAGUAGGGAAUCUUCGGCAAUGGACGAAAGUCUGACCGAGCAACGCCGCGUGAGUGAAGAAGGUUUUCGGAUCGUAAAACUCUGUUGGUAGAGAAGAACGUUGGUGAGAGUGGAAAGCUCAUCAAGUGACGGUAACGACCCAGAAAGGGACGGCUAACUACGU